CCUACGGGUGGCAGCAGUCGAGAAUCAUUCACAAUGGGGGAAACCCUGAUGGUGCGACGCCGCGUGGGGGAAUGAAGGUCUUCGGAUUGUAAACCCCUGUCAUGUGGGAGCAAAUUACAACGAUAGUACCACACGAGGAAGAGACGGCUAACUCUGUACCAGCAGCCGCGGUAAUACAGAGGUCUCAAGCGUUGUUCGGAAUCACUGGGCGUAAAGCGUGCGUAGGCUGUUUCGUAAGUCGUGUGUGAAAGGCGCGGGCUCAACCCGCGGACGGCACAUGAUACUGCGAGACUAGAGUAAUGGAGGGGGAACCGGAAUUCUCGGUGUAGCAGUGAAAUGCGUAGAUAUCGAGAGGAACACUCGUGGCGAAGGCGGGUUCCUGGACAUUAACUGACGCUGAGGCACGAAGGCCAGGGGAGCGGAAGGGAUUAGAUACCCGUGUAGUC
rnacentral:rRNA from 1 species